rnacentral:rRNA from 1 species
AUUGAACGCUGGCGGCAGGCCUAACACAUGCAAGUCGAGCGGAUGAAGGGAGCUUGCUCCUGGAUUCAGCGGCGGACGGGUGAGUAAUGCCUAGGAAUCUGCCUGGUAGUGGGGGAUAACGUCCGGAAACGGGCGCUAAUACCGCAUACGUCCUGAGGGAGAAAGUGGGGGAUCUUCGGACCUCACGCUAUCAGAUGAGCCUAGGUCGGAUUAGCUAGUUGGUGGGGUAAAGGCCUACCAAGGCGACGAUCCGUAACUGGUCUGAGAGGAUGAUCAGUCACACUGGAACUGAGACACGGUCCAGACUCCUACGGGAGGCAGCAGUGGGGAAUAUUGGACAAUGGGCGAAAGCCUGAUCCAGCCAUGCCGCGUGUGUGAAGAAGGUCUUCGGAUUUUAAAGCACUUUAAGUUGGGAGGAAGGGCAGUAAGUUAAUACCUUGCCGUUUUGACGUUACCAACAGAAUAAGCACCGGCUAACUUCGUG